GCCCUCGUGCGGCACCUGGCAUGCCCCAAACGCCGCCAGGCAUGGGCUCGCAAUCCCAGGUCGCCAUGUGUUGCCUGGCUACGUAGCCGACUCAAAAUCCGUCCAGUGUCAGUUCGACUCUGACCGGGGGCA
rnacentral:tRNA from 1 species